rnacentral:rRNA from 1 species
UACGUAGGGCGCAAGCGUUGUCCGGAAUUAUUGGGCGUAAAGAGCUCGUAGGCGGUUUGUCGCGUCUGCUGUGAAAACCUAAGGCUCAACCUUGGGCUUGCAGUGGGUACGGGCAGACUAGAGUGCGGUAGGGGUGACUGGAAUUCCUGGUGUAGCGGUGGAAUGCGCAGAUAUCUGGAGGAAUACCGGUGGCGAAGGCGGCAUCCUGGACCGACAUUGACGCUGAUGAGCGAAAGCUAGGGGAGCAAACGGG